GAAAGUCUGUUUAAGGUUAAGAGGAACAAUUGCGGGGGCUAACAACCGGAUGGAUAUACUCUCACUUGUUACGAGUAAAGUGGAUAGUAAUGGGGUUAGUGAGCCUGAAGAGGACAUCAUUGGAGUGGUUGAAGAUUGGCAAGAGGAUGAGAUAUCACGCACAUCACACAAAAGGGGUCUUGCGCCUUUUGCAUUUGUUCCAUUUGAAGAGGUGGAAACAUCAGUUCUUAACCUGCCUGUGGAAAAGAUGGAUUAUUAUGUUCCUGGCUAGU
rnacentral:misc_RNA from 1 species